ACUCAAAUGAAUUGACGGGGGCCCGCACAAGCGGUGGAACAUGUGGUUUAAUUCGACACUACGCGAGGAACCUUACCUAGGCUUGACAUGUGCCUGACAGCUGUAGAAAUACGGUCUUCUGGACUUCGGUUCAGACGGGUACACAGGUGCUGCAUGGCUGUCGUCAGCUCGUGUCGUGAGAUGUUGGGUUAAGUCCUCUAACGAGCGCAACCCUUGCUGUCAGUUGCUAUCUACGUAAGUAGAGCACUCUGAUGGGACUGCCUGGGAAACCAGGAGGAAGGUGGGGACGACGUCAAGUCAUCAUGGCCCUUAUGCCUAGGGCUACACACGUGUUACAAUGGCCGGUACAAAGAGCUGCAAACUUGUAAAAGUAAGCUAAUCUCAUAAAGCCGGUCUAAGUUCGGAUUGAGGUCUGCAACUCGACCUCAUGAAGUUGAAAUCGCUAGUAAUCGCGUAUCAGCAACGGCGCGGUGAAUACGUUCACGGGCCUUGUACACACCGCCCGU
rnacentral:rRNA from 1 species